GGAAAAGGUCACGGAUCAGUGGCUCGUGUUGGUAAGGUGAGAGGCCAAACCCCGAAGGUGGCCAAACAGGACAAGAAGAAGAAGCCAAGUGGCAGGGCUCACAAGCGCAUGCAAGAGGUUAAGAAGUGCUGGAAGCCAUGCGCGUCUCAUGGAGAAGCAGAAUCGGCUCUCUUACCAUAUUAGCAAACAUAAUUAUACGUUUAAGAUUUUGGCAAUUGCAAGAAAAUUGGAUCUCAAGCCUCUCUCUCCACCUCAAUAACUCUACACGACUCUCAAUUACGCCAUCCAGUUGGUAUUUCUUCUCUGUUCUCACUAGAAACUGAUUACUAGAUAUAGAUUUUUCCUUCUGAGAUUUGUUAGGAAUGUAAUGAGUAUUUGGGAAUUGUCCCUUAAGGAGAACUAUGAUGAGGUUUAUGGUUAUUGCUGGUUAAGCAUGGAAAAAGUUAAGUCUAUUUUAGUUUUUUGUUUGAUCAAUAGCUCAUUUAUGAGUGGUAACUACUUUGGGCAAAGUCACAUACACUUUUUCAAGUACUAAUAUUAGUUUCUCAAGUUGUUUCUUUUGUCAAGUAGAGUUUUGAAAAAAAACACUUGGCCACUUUGUUACCAAUUUAUGAGACAUUACCACAAUGGAAGUGUCUAGGAUGUAUUUUCCAUUAAAUAUAAUGCAUUUCUUGCCUUCCAAAUGGACCAUGUGGUAGCAAAAGAAAAAGAGGUCCUACAAGCCACUUUGAUAGAGUUAGACUUGCCAUACACCUGCCAUGUGAUUGAGCCAGGGGAUGCCCAGACCAAACUCCUAUUUUGUAUCUGAUUUCAAGAGGAACUUUAAGAUCACGAAUCCAACAGGAAGCAUCGCUGCAAUAGUCUUCUCAGAAGUUGCAUAAGAAGUCUACAGCAUUACACCAGUAGAUGCAAUGAAUUGCUUCACAAACUAGGCGAACCAAAGAAAUGCAUCGUCACACUAAAGGCCUUCAUAUACAACCAUGCCGGACUCGGCCAAAUAAAGUUCAACAUGCACUCUAGGUCUGCCGAACACCUCUCAGAAGCAGCAAACCAUUCAGAACUUCUUGCUCUACCUCCAAACGCUCCAAAUAAGAAGAGCAAAAAGAGAGAGCACAAACUAAGCAGCUCAACCUCCACCCCAACAAUCAACACCCCUGCAGAUAGCAACCCAACAAAACGCACUCUAGCAACUGAAGAAACUUCAGCCCCAACAAGAACAAAUAGUCAGCUUCCAUAAUCUCCAGAACUUUACAAGCUUUUGGCAUGAAGAAUUCUCAAUUGAAAGAUUUUUGCUUUGUUUCAUUUGCACAAACUCUACCUUGAUGAUACGCCUUUCGAAGUUGUAUAAAAAAAACCUAUAGCAAAGUCAUGCAAUUAGCCACCAAAGACAGAAACAUAUCUAAACCAUGACUUCUACAUGUAACUUUUCUAUGACAAAACACUUGGUCAAACUAAUGCUUAUAACUUCUGCUAUGAUUAACUACAUGCAUAAUAUUAAGAAGAACCACAAAAAGAUCUCCACAACGGGCAUGACGAACGUGCUUUGCACGUCGCCUUGCAUCUAGUAUCU